rfam:Bacillus sp. FJAT-27916 Scaffold1, whole genome shotgun sequence.
GGGGCUAUAGUUCAGCGGGAGAAUGCUUCGCUGGCAGCGAAGAGGUCAGGGGUUCGAAUCCCCUUAGCUCCA